CUACGGAGGGUGCAAGCGUUAUCCGGAAUCAUUGGGUUUAAAGGGUCCGCAGGCGGUCAAUUAAGUCAGAGGUGAAAGCCCAUCGCUCAACGAUGGAACUGCCUUUGAUACUGGUUGACUUGAGUUAUACGGAAGUAGAUAGAAUAAGUAGUGUAGCGGUGAAAUGCAUAGAUAUUACUUAGAAUACCGAUUGCGAAGGCAGUCUACUACGUAUAUACUGACGCUGAGGGACGAAAGCGUGGGGAGCGAACAGGAUUAGAAACCCUAGUAGUCC
rnacentral:rRNA from 1 species